GACGAACGCUGGCGGCGUGCCUAACACAUGCAAGUCAACUUGACGGAAGGAGCAAUCUAACCGUAGAGUGGCGCAAGGGUGCGUAACGCGUAAGUAACUUGCCCCAAGGUAAGGAAUAACGUCGAGAAAUCGGCGCUAAUACCUCAUAAUGCAGCGGAUCCGCAUGGAUAUGUUGUUAAAGGUUUACCGCCUUGGGAUAGGCUUGCGUCUGAUUAGCUAGUUGGUGUGGUAACGGCACACCAAGGCUACGAUCAGUAACUGGUCUGAGAGGAUGAUCAGUCACACUGGAACCGAGACACGGUCCAGACUCCUACGGGAGGCAGCAGUGAGGAAUAUUGGGCAAUGCUCGAAAGAGUGACCCAGCAACGCCGCGUGGAGGAUGAAGGUAUUCUAUAUCGUAAACUCCUGUGAGAGCAGACGAAAGACAGAUUAUUAAUCUGGAUGACUGUAUGCUCAGAGGAAGCCCCGGCUAACUACGU
rnacentral:rRNA from 1 species